UACACGAGAACAGUAAGCUCUUGUCGCCGUUUUUUGAAUAUUAACGAAGUUUAAGGAAAUCUAAAUCGCAUUGUCAACAGUACCUUUACAAGGGAACAAUGUAGACUGAAAAUGUUAGAUGUAAAGUUCCAAAAUAAGCAAAGGGGACAAAACGGCAUAAAGGGUCCAAACUUAAAAUUCCAACAUGCCAAGAAGCGGACCCCCGCCUUAAGGGGACAAGAAAUCUUGGCUUAAAGUAAAUCCUAAAACACACCCCUUUCUUCUUAAAUGGUUAUGUAAAAUUCAUCUCAAAUUUCAAUAAAAUAAGGCUGGAACCUUAUAAGAAAAGAUUAUACCAUAACGCCUGCUACAUAAGAAGUUAAGAAGGAUUUAGUAGAGGUUUAAAAUUGCUUUGGCAGGAGGGC